AGGUUAGUGCAAUGGCAUAAGCCAGCUUGACUGCGAGCGUGACGGCGCGAGCAGGUGCGAAAGCAGGUCAUAGUGAUCCGGUGGUUCUGAAUGGAAGGGCCAUCGCUCAACGGAUAAAAGGUACUCCGGGGAUAACAGGCUGAUACCGCCCAAGAGUUCAUAUCGACGGCGGUGUUUGGCACCUCGAUGUCGGCUCAUCACAUCCUGGGGCUGAAGUAGGUCCCAAGGGUAUGGCUGUUCGCCAUUUAAAGUGGUACGCGAGCUGGGUUUAGAACGUCGUGAGACAGUUCGGUCCCUAUCUGCCGUGGGCGCUGGAGAACUGAGGGGGGCUGCUCCUAGUACGAGAGGACCGGAGUGGACGCAUCACUGGUGUUCGGGUUGUCAUGCCAAUGGCACUGCCCGGUAGCUAAAUGCGGAAGAGAUAAGUGCUGAAAGCAUCUAAGCACGAAACUUGCCCCGAGAUGAGUUCUCCCUGACCCUUUAAGGGUCCUGAAG
rnacentral:rRNA from 1 species